rnacentral:sRNA from 1 species
GAAGCGACCGAGGGACUGGGAGUCGUUAGUGAGGAUGACGCGGCAUGGCAAGAACUGCACCGCAGGGGCCGUCUACACCUACCACGAGAAGAAGAAGGACACAGCGGCCUCGGGCUACGGGACCCAGAACAUUCGACUGAGCCGGGAUGCCGUGAAGGACUUCGACUGCUGUUGUCUCUCCCUGCAGCCUUGCCACGAUCCUGUUGUCACGUGAGCUGGGAACAGGGAUGGGUAGGUCUGGGUGGGGAGAGCAAGGGAACCGCCAGGAGGAGGCUGUGUGUGUGGGUCUGGCCACCUGCACAGCCAGGGAACCCUGGAUGAGCAGUUUAUCCUCAGAGCCUCUGUAUUCUCACCUGGGACGUGGGCAUGAUCCUAGCAUCUGUUUCACAGUGUGGAACAUAUGGAAAAGAACAUACUUCUAAUGGGGUGUAGGGCUCUCAGAGCAUUGCCGAGGCCAUCGGAGCAGCUCACCUUUGGACACUUCCCAUGACCUACCUCUGAUGGUAGGGCAAAGGCUUAACAGGUGCUGAGUCCAGGCACUAAAUACGUGCUCAAUUAGUGGUAUAUUUUGUAGAAGACAGUAAUUAAUGAUCAGGGCCCCCAAGGCCACCUUCAGGUUUCUUUUUUUUUUUGAGACAGAGUCUUCGCUUUGUUGCCCAGGCUGGAGUGCAAUGGGGACAUCUUGGCUCACUGAUCUCCCAGGCUCAGGUGAUCCUCCUGCCUCAGCCCCCACGAGUAGCUGGAACCACGGGUGUGCACUACCACACCUGGCGUUUUUGUUUGUUUGUUUUUUGUAGAGAGGGGAUCUCACUUUGUUGCCCAGGCUGGUCUCGAACUCGUGGCUGCAACAAUAUGUGGCACACAUUGUUGCUGAGAGAAUGAAGCACUUUCCCUGCAGCUCUAUUGGGAGAGGAGAGCUGGAAGCUCAAAUCUAGU